rnacentral:hammerhead_ribozyme from 1 species
AUCCAGCUGACGAGUCCCAAAUAGGAUGACACGCAUAUCCUGGAU